GGUAGGGGCGUUGGAGAGGCCGCUCUUUUUGCAAGGCCCGAGAUGGCGGGCCCUGCGCAGGCCGCCCUAUUCCGCGCCCUCAGGGCGUCAGUAUCCGCCUGAGGCCGGAUACCCACUCUGGGCUCGGAUACCCGCGCUGGGCCCGGAGCAUCCUCGGCGCUGCCCUCCCAGAGCCCCGCAGAGGCUGAGGUGGCGCGGGGGCGGCCCCGGCUCCGCGAGAAGAGGCGGCAGCGAGGGCUGGAGGACCCGGGCUACGGGGCUCCGGGGCGUCUGGCCUGGGUGGGACUGAGCCCAUCCAGGGACUGGGACUCCGGGGUUCUGGUGUAGGUGGAUCCCGGGCAGGCUCAGGACCAAGACCCUCUCCUUCCACCAAGGAGCGCCCAGAGGCCGGCGGGAGCUCCAGGUUCACCUCCUCCUCCUCCAGGAAAUCCCACUUCCAGCUGGAUGUCUGGAUGAACUCCUGAAAGCUGCUGAGUGUCCUGCAGCAGGCCAUUUCCAAUCCAGAGGAAGACCUUCUAGAAGAAGUGAUGGGUGGGAGAGUGCUGACAUACUAUGCAAAGCUACUAUUUGGAGUUGGACACGAGUGCAUGUGACCUUGUGCCACAGCGGGAAUGUGAGCUGGAUGACAAAUGGAGAUUUGGACUUGUGAUAAUUGGCCUCUGUGUCAUUGUGUGGAAGACUGACUGGUCCCUUUAUUUCCUGUAGCUUGACUACCACACAAAUUAAUCCACUCAAAUGUUGGCAAGUGGAGCAGAGUCCCAGGACAGGUGCUGGAGCAGCCCCGCUGGAAGCGAUGCAGCAUCCAGGAAGACGGAGGAAGGGGCAGAGAGGGACCUCUGCUUUCCAGGCUGCCUUUUAUACUGCCUCUGGUCACCUGACGUGGAACGUACCCUAACCUAAUCAGUUACAUGCCUCCGUGUCAUCAUGGAGAUUCUCCUUGACAUGCAGUCACGGCCAUGAUCCAU
rnacentral:lncRNA from 10 species